AUUGAACGCUGGCGGCAGGCCUAACACAUGCAGGUCGAGCGGAUGAGUGGAGCUUGCUCCAUGAUUCAGCGGCGGACGGGUGAGUAAUGCCUAGGAAUCUGCCUGGUAGUGGGGGAUAACGUUUCGAAAGGAACGCUAAUACCGCAUACGUCCUACGGGAGAAAGUGGGGGAUCUUCGGACCUCACGCUAUCAGAUGAGCCUAGGUCGGAUUAGCUAGUUGGUGGGGUAAUGGCCCACCAAGGCGACGAUCCGUAACUGGUCUGAGAGGAUGAUCAGUCACACUGGAACUGAGACACGGUCCAGACUCCUACGGGAGGCAGCAGUGGGGAAUAUUGGACAAUGGGCGAAAGCCUGAUCCAGCCAUGCCGCGUGUGUGAAGAAGGUCUUCGGAUUGUAAAGCACUUUAAGUUGGGAGGAAGGGCAGUAAGUUAAUACCUUGCUGUUUUGACGUUACCAACAGAAUAAGCACCGGCUAACUUCGUGCCAGCAGCCGCGGUAAGAC
rnacentral:rRNA from 1 species